rnacentral:tRNA from 1 species
UGGGGCGUCGUCCCGAGGUAGGACACAAGCCUAUGGAGCUUGGAACCUAGGUUCGAAUCCUAGCGCCCCAG